CCUUUUUUCUGGGGGUGAGGGCGUGGUGGGUGGAGGGGCUAGGUUAGCGUUGUGAGCGGGGUCGUCGCUAUGGCGCUGGUGGGGCGGGGGCCGGCUGUGGAGGCGGCGACGGGGUGGGGACCGGUCGUGGCGGCGUCGGCGGGGUGGGAGCAGGCCGUGGAGGCAGCGGCGGGCGAGGGCAGGCUGUGGCGGCACCGGCGGGGCGGGGGCCGGCAUGGGGACGAGGGUCGCCUAGGCCACCUCUGCCGCGGUGUGGUGGAGGGCCUCGUGGAGCUCCCAGUGGUCUAGGGCGGGGGCGGCGGUAGACAGGAGUGACGUCGGCGGCACCGGGGCCGGUGGUUGGCGCAGCGGUGGCGCAGGAGGGAGGACGAAGUUGGCGUUGUCACCGGAGGGAAAGGAGACGAAGGUGCUGCCGCCGCCGAGAAACAGGGGCUGGCUGCGCUGCCGAUGGGGGUAGGUUGGUUGGACCACGUGAGCGGCCAGGGAGUGGUCGGAGGCGCUGGUUGGUAGGUGGCUAGUUACCCCGCGGAGAUCCGUAGACGCGGCGGAAGACCUCGUUACGGGAAGAGACGUUCGACGUCAGUGACCAGAACGGGACGAGCUCCUCCUCCUCAUCCUCCCGGCGUGGAUCCGUGGUACACGUUGAGCAUUUGUUUCUGUCGCUCCCUCACCGUCGUUGUAAAGUCUACAUUGAAGUCUAUUUUUUCCGUGAGCCGACGUUGAGGAACAAGAUGCGAGAGAUUACAGUUUCACUCUUGUCUUAGUGUACAAGGUGAGAACGAAAAUCGAAAAAAACAAUCAGAAUUUCUUUUACUAGAAUUGUUUCUUAGAGACACACGCACGCACACACGAGCACACGCACGCACACACGAGCACAAACACACACGCGACCCACACGACGAACGCACGACUCUACAUACUACACGUCUCAAAAAAUUCAAGUACAACACUUGGUUUGAUUUGAUUCAAACUUGUGUUUUCAAGUCUAGUGACGACGAAACUUAAACGAGUACAUGGUCUUUAGAACGAAGGGACGACAACAUGAUACAAUUGAAUACAUAACAAAGAUUUCAUGGAAAACGGGCUUCAAGUCAUCACAUAGACACCCACGGUUUUUCAGCCAUAACACUAUGAAGCCACGUC
rnacentral:rRNA from 1 species